UACGUAGGGGGCAAGCGUUGUCCGGAUUUAUUGGGCGUAAAGAGCGUGUAGGCGGUUAGGUAGGUCCGUUGUGAAAACUCGAGGCUCAACCUCGAGACGCCGAUGGAAACCAUCUAACUAGAGUCCGGAAGAGGAGAAUGGAAUUCCUGGUGUAGCGGUGAAAUGCGCAGAUAUCAGGAAGAACACCCGUGGCUAAGGCGGUUCUCUAGUACGGUACUGACGCUGAGACGCGAAAGCGUGGGGAGGCGAACAGG
rnacentral:rRNA from 1 species